CAUUUAUGUAAAAAAUGCUGGAGAACAUCAGGUAGGGUUUUGUUGGAGCUGUCUUUGUUGUUUUGCAGAUUGGAGUGGAGCAGAUGAAAACUUACAAGGGGAACAAUAGAGAUACACUUGAAGACUUUGAGCUCAGGAAGCAGAUUUUCACGGAGCAUGUGGAGAAACAGGGAAACACACAGGGACAGGGAUAAGUGCAUUGUUAUAUAUUAGGAUAGCAGGCGAGUAUAUUGAGGCAGAUGAGAAGUCCAUGAAGAUAAACUGGAUAUUUGACUGUGCAGGCUUGGAGACGGAUACCACAGAUGACAAACAGGACAAAGACCAGACAAGGAGACAUCACACUAGAAGAGACAUGAAAAACACA